rnacentral:rRNA from 1 species
UUUUCGGAGGUACUCGAGUGGCGAACGGGUGAGUAACACGUGGGUGAUCUGCCCUGCACUCUGGGAUAAGCCUGGGAAACUGGGUCUAAUACCGGAUAGGACCGCACUUUAGUGUGUGUGGUGGAAAGUUUUUUCGGUGUAGGAUGAGCCCGCGGCCUAUCAGCUUGUUGGUGGGGUAAUGGCCUACCAAGGCGUCGACGGGUAGCCGGACUGAGAGGUUGGUCGGCCACAUUGGGACUGAGAUACGGCCCAG